rnacentral:rRNA from 1 species
UACGUAGGGUGCAAGCGUUAUCCGGAAUUAUUGGGCGUAAAGAGCUCGUAGGCGGUUUGUCGCGUCUGCUGUGAAAACCCGAGGCUCAACCUCGGGCCUGCAGUGGGUACGGGCAAACUAGAGUGCGGUAGGGGAGAUUGGAAUUCCUGGUGUAGCGGUGGAAUGCGCAGAUAUCAGGAGGAACACCGAUGGCGAAGGCAGAUCUCUGGGCCGUAACUGACGCUGAAACACGAAAGCGUGGGUAGCAAACAGG